rnacentral:rRNA from 1 species
UACGUAGGUGGCAAGCGUUGUCCGGAUUUACUGGGCGUAAAGGGCGUGCAGGCGGUUUGUCUAGUCUAGGGUGAAAGCUCCCGGCUUAACUGGGAGAGGUCCUUGGAUACUGGCAAACUUGAGGGAGGCAGAGGAAAGUGGAAUUCCCGGUGUAGUGGUGAUAUGCGUAGAUAUCGGGAGGAACACCAGUGGCGAAGGCGGCUUUCUGGGCCUUACCUGACGCUGAGACGCGAAAGCAUGGGGAGCGAACAGG